GCCUACGGCCAUACCAGUCUGAAAGUGCCUGAUCUUGUCACAUCUCAGAAGCCAUCCAGACUCGGGCCUGGUUAGGACUUCUAUGGGAAACCAACUAGGAUCCUCAGGUGCUGUAAGCU
rnacentral:rRNA from 1 species